UGGUGACUGAUCAUCACCAUCGGGAGUGACGGAAUAACCCUGUUGGAAUUUGGCGGGGUAACGUAAAUGGUUAGAGGUGGUGCUCGCUGCUGGGUCCGUCCUGGAGAACCCAUACCAAGGGAACCAUUGUUGUUAUGCACAAAUAUUCGCUUUAGCGAUUCCCAUAACAUGAGGGUACGAAGUAUUCCCUCCUCCCACUCG
rnacentral:ncRNA from 1 species